GUUUUAUCAUUGAAUGGAAUUUUUUAAAACUAAUCAUGGCCCUGCAACCUAAAUGGGUCACCAUGGAUCGAAUGAACUUUAAGAGUAAUCCUCGCAGCAAUGACCAAAUCAAUCAUUGAUGGGAAACACUUUCGAGUUCUAGAAAUCCAAUAGCCAACCUAGUGACAAAACUUUGAUAAUGCAUGCUAAAUUAUGCACAUAGUACAAUGAAAAUGUUGAGAAUAUCUCAUAAAGGAUAAGGCAUAUCAACUACAGGAUAAACACUCCA
rnacentral:lncRNA from 1 species